rnacentral:rRNA from 1 species
CCUACGGGAUGCAGCAGUGAGGAAUAUUUGUCAAUGGCCGGAAGGAUGAUCCAGCCAUGCCGCGUGAAGGUCCGUGCCCUAUGGGCGUUAAACUUCUUUUGUGCGGGAGCAAUACUGGUCACGUGUGGCCAGACGAGAGUACCGUACGAAUAAGCAUCGGCUAACUCCGUGCCAGCAGCCGCGGUAAUACGGGGGAUGCAAGCGUUAUCCGGAUUUAUUGGGUUUUAAGGGUGCGUAGGCUGUGAGGUAAGUCAGCGGUGAAAUGCCCCCGCUCAACGGGGUGAAGUGCCAUUGAUACUGCCUUGCUAGAAUGCGGAUGCCGUGAGAGGAAUGUGUGGUGUAGCGGUGAAAUGCAUAGAUAUCACACAGAACACCGAUUGCGAAGGCAUCUCACGAAUCCGCGAUUGACGCUGAUGCACGAAAGCGUGGGUAUCAAACAGGAUUAGAUACCCGAGUAGUC